GAGUUUGAUCGUGGCUCAGGAUGAACGCUGGCGGCGUGCUUAACACAUGCAAGUCGAGCGAAGCAGUUAAGUUGAUUUCUUCGGAUUGAUUCUUAACUGACUGAGCGGCGGACGGGUGAGUAACGCGUGGGUGACCUGCCCCAUACCGGGGGAUAACAGCUGGAAACGGCUGCUAAUACCGCAUAAGCGCACAGAGCUGCAUGGCUCAGUGUGAAAAACUCCGGUGGUAUGAGAUGGACCCGCGUCUGAUUAGCUGGUUGGU
rnacentral:rRNA from 1 species